rnacentral:sRNA from 1 species
AUCGACAAAGGCGGCGAAGAUGUAUCUAUGGCUUGCCUUG